rnacentral:rRNA from 1 species
CUGGCGGCAGGCUAACACAUGCAAGUCGAGCGGUAGAGAGAAGCUUGCUUCUCUUGAGAGCGGCGGACGGGUGAGUAAUGCCUAGGAAUCUGCCUGGUAGUGGGGGAUAACGUUCGGAAACGGACGCUAAUACCGCAUACGUCCUACGGGAGAAAGCAGGGGACCUUCGGGCCUUGCGCUAUCAGAUGAGCCUAGGUCGGAUUAGCUAGUUGGUGAGGUAAUGGCUCACCAAGGCGACGAUCCGUAACUGGUCUGAGAGGAUGAUCAGUCACACUGGAACUGAGACACGGUCCAGACUCCUACGGGAGGCAGCAGUGGGGAAUAUUGGACAAUGGGCGAAAGCCUGAUCCAGCCAUGCCGCGUGUGUGAAGAAGGUCUUCGGAUUGUAAAGCACUUUAAGUUGGGAGGAAGGGUUGUAGAUUAAUACUCUGCAAUUUUGACGUUACCGACAGAAUAAGCACCGGCUAACUCUGUGCCAGCAGCCGCGGUAAUACAGAGGGUGCAAGCGUUAAUCGGAAUUACUGGGCGUAAAGCGCGCGUAGGUGGUUUGUUAAGUUGGAUGUGAAAUCCCCGGGCUCAACCUGGGAACUGCAUUCAAAACUGACUGACUAGAGUAUGGUAGAGGGUGGUGGAAUUUCCUGUGUAGCGGUGAAAUGCGUAGAUAUAGGAAGGAACACCAGUGGCGAAGGCGACCACCUGGACUAAUACUGACACUGAGUGCGUAAGNAUG